AUUGAACGCUAGCGGGAUGCCUUACACAUGCAAGUCGAACGGAGUGGCGAACGGGUGAGUAAUGUAUCGGAACGUGCCCAGUAGCGGGGGAUAACUACGCGAAAGCGUAGCUAAUACCGCAUACUUUUGGAGCGGCCGAUAUCGGAUUAGCUAGUUGGUGGGGUAACGGCUCACCAAGGCGACGAUCCGUAGCUGGUUUGCGAGGACGACCAGCCAAUCUGGGGAUGGGACAAGGCCCAGACACCUACGGUAGGCAGCAGUGGGAAAUUUUGGACAAUGGGGGAAACCCUGAUCCAGCCAUCCCGCGUGUGCGAUGAGGGCCUUCGGGUUGUAAAGCACGUUUGGCAGGAAAGCGGUACCUGCAGAAUAAGCACCGGCUAACUACGUGCCAGCAGCCGCGGUAAUUC
rnacentral:rRNA from 1 species